GUCUUUCAAGUCCGAUGCUAAAGACUGGGGCUCAACCCCAGGGGUGCGUUGGAUACUGUGAGGCUAGACGGUCGGAGGGGGUAGCGGAAUUUCCGGAGUAGCGGUGAAAUGCGCAGAUACCGGAAGGAACGCCAAUAGCGAAGGCAGCUACCUGGACGACUUGUGACGCUGAGGCGCGAAAGCGUGGGGAGCAAACCGGAUUAGAUACCCGGGUAGUCCACGCCCUAAACCAUGAGUGCUGGGUGUCCGGCUUCUGCUGGGUGCCGUAGCUAACGCGCUAAGCACUCCGCCUGGGAAGUACGCACGCAAGUGUGAAACUCAAAGGAAUUGACGGGGGCCCGCACAAGCGGUGGAGCAUGUGGUUUAAUUCGAAGCGACGCGAAGAACCUUACCAGGCCUUGACAUGCCCGGAACCCCUCUGAAAGGAGGGGGUGCCCGCAAGGGAGCCGGGACACAGGUGCUGCAUGGCCGUCGUCAGCUCGUGUCGUGAGAUGUUGGGUUAAGUCCCGCAACGAGCGCAACCCCUAUCCCUAGUUGCCAGCAGUUCGGCUGGGCACUCUAUGGAGACUGCCUGCGAAAGCAGGAGGAAGGCGGGGAUGACGUCUGGUCCGCAUGGCCCUUACGGCCUGGGCGACACACGUGCUACAAUGCCAAGGACAGAGCGCUGCUACCUCGCGAGAGGACGCCAAUCGCAAAAACCUUGGCUCAGUUCGGAUUGGAGUCUGCAACUCGACUCCAUGAAGCCGGAAUCGCUAG
rnacentral:rRNA from 1 species